GAUGGAUUAUCCAAAUGGCUUACAUUUCGACGCAACAGGGUGUUGUUUCGCAGGGAUUAAGAUCGAUAAUACCCCAAACCCAAUCCAGCGAUUCGAACAACGACAGGUAAAUAUCAUCACCAAACAAACCCGCAACAACACCAUCAGUAUUAUUAACAGCGUCGAAAAAAAAA